UACGUAGGCAGCAAGCGUUGUUCGGAGUUACUGGGCGUAAAGGGUGUGUAGGCGGUUCUUUAAGUUUGCUGUGAAAUCUCCCGGCUUAACCGGGAGGGUGCGGUGAAUACUGAGGGACUAGAGUACGGGAGAGGAAAGUGGAAUUCCUGGUGUAGCGGUGAAAUGCGUAGAUACCAGGAGGAACACCGGUGGUGUAGACGGCUUUCUGGACCGUAACUGACGCUGAGACACGAAGGCGUGGGGAUCAAACAGG
rnacentral:rRNA from 1 species